GUGCCUUGCACAUGUUUUGUGGAAGCAAUUCGGGGUUUCUCUGAGCAUUUUCGGUGACUAUUUGAACGAUAAUGCCCUUUGAAAUCCUGAAUUAAACGCCCGAAGUCAGCUAUCCAUGUGC
rnacentral:precursor_RNA from 10 species